rnacentral:rRNA from 1 species
CUGGAGGUAUCAGAAGUGCGAAUGCUGACAUAAGUAACGAUAAAGCGGGUGAAAAGCCCGCUCGCCGGAAGACCAAGGGUUCCUGUCCAACGUUAAUCGGGGCAGGGUGAGUCGACCCCUAAGGCGAGGCCGAAAGGCGUAGUCGAUGGGAAACAGGUUAAUAUUCCUGUACUUGGUGUUACUGCGAAGGGGGGACGGAGAAGGCUAUGUUGGCCGGGCGACGGUUGUCCCGGUUUAAGCGUGUAGGCUGGUUUUCCAGGCAAAUCCGGAAAAUCAAGGCUGAGGCGUGAUGACGAGGCACUACGGUGCUGAAGCAACAAAUGCCCUGCUUCCAGGAAAAGCCUCUAAGCAUCAGGUAACAUCAAAUCGUACCCCAAACCGACACAGGUGGUCAGGUAGAGAAUACCAAGGCGCUUGAGAGAACUCGGGUGAAGGAACUAGGCAAAAUGGUGCCGUAACUUCGGGAGAAGGCACGCUGAUAUGUAGGUGAAGUCCCUCGCGGAUGGAGCUGAAAUCAGUCGAAGAUACCAGCUGGCUGCAACUGUUUAUUAAAAACACAGCACUGUGCAAACACGAAAGUGGACGUAUACGGUGUGACGCCUGCCCGGUGCCGGAAGGUUAAUUGAUGGGGUCAGCGCAAGCGAAGCUCUUGAUCGAAGCCCCGGUAAACGGCGGCCGUAACUAUAACGGUCCUAAGGUAGCGAAAUUCCUUGUCGGGUAAGUUCCGACCUGCACGAAUGGCGUAAUGAUGGCCAGGCUGUCUCCACCCGAGACUCAGUGAAAUUGAACUCGCUGUGAAGAUGCAGUGUACCCGCGGCAAGACGGAAAGACCCCGUGAACCUUUACUAUAGCUUGACACUGAACAUUGAGCCUUGAUGUGUAGGAUAGGUGGGAGGCUUUGAAGUGUGGACGCCAGUCUGCAUGGAGCCGACCUUGAAAUACCACCCUUUAAUGUUUGAUGUUCUAACGUUGACCCGUGAUCCGGGUUGCGGACAGUGUCUGGUGGGUAGUUUGACUGGGGCGGUCUCCUCCUAAAGAGUAACGGAGGAGCACGAAGGUUGGCUAAUCCUGGUCGGACAUCAGGAGGUUAGUGCAAUGGCAUAAGCCAGCUUGACUGCGAGCGUGACGGCGCGAGCAGGUGCGAAAGCAGGUCAUAGUGAUCCGGUGGUUCUGAAUGGAAGGGCCAUCGCUCAACGGAUAAAAGGUACUCCGGGGAUAACAGGCUGAUACCGCCCAAGAGUUCAUAUCGACGGCGGUGUUUGGCACCUCGAUGUCGGCUCAUCACAUCCUGGGGCUGAAGUAGGUCCCAAGGGUAUGGCUGUUCGCCAUUUAAAGUGGUACGCGAGCUGGGUUUAGAACGUCGUGAGACAGUUCGGUCCCUA